CCAAUCACUACAACUGCUGUGACUGCACAGUCAGUCAGCAGCUGCCAACGCCCAACUACAAGUGCUUUCGACAGGGACUCUGAAGCCGGGCGUUCAGGGACUCUCGAAGGUGCCAGCGUUACCUCAGCCUCUCCUAGGAGCGCGCGCCCUGACACUCCCCUCUGUGCGGAUUCAAGCCAGUCCGUGCCGCUCACAUGACUUCGUCCAAGCAAGUUUCUUGUCACCUCAGACAGAGAACUGAACCCAUGGGCUUUUUACUUAGGUGACCCCAGAUGAAAAUUUCCAUCCCUUUUCUAGGGAACCACGAAGUUACGACAACGGAGUGAGGAAGAAGGCGGGGGUCUUGCUCAAACCCAAACCGACCCUUCUUUCUGUCUCUGAUUCACUCCCGGGCUCGCUGGUUGGCUUCGGCGCGCCUGGAGGACCCCGUCCUCCGGAGAGUCCUGGCUAUGGCAAAAGCAGAAAAUAGAGGCUCUAGGCGGGGGGCCUUCUCGGCUUCUUUGCUGUUGCCGCCGUCGCCGUCGCUGCCGCCGUCGUUGCUGGGGGUCAGGGAGAGCCGGAGCUGUCGUAGACCCUGAGGAGUCUGUCUGUGUUGCUGAUUUUGCUUGAGGAGACUUCCUUCCUACGUCACACCCUGACUCCGGUGGUGUCGAGGGGGAGUCCCUGCGGACACCUGGGCACGCAGUGGCGAUGCCUCUCUUUGCCACCAAUCCCUUCGAUCAGGAUGUUGAGAAAGCAACCAGUGAGAUGAAUACUGCUGAGGACUGGGGCCUCAUUUUGGAUAUUUGUGAUAAAGUUGGUCAGUCUCGUACUGGGUAAGGAUUUUUUUUCAUUCUUUUAUUAACAUGAGUAAAGCAAGAAUUACAAGGUAAAGCAUAUUACAGUCACAAUUUAGUUUAGAAAGAGAAUGAUUUUGCUAGCAAUAUUUGAAGAAUCAUCCCAUUUAGGUUACUCCUUAUAAUCAGUUAGGGCAACAUGACUGAUCACAAUGUUGGUUAUCAGUCACACUUGCCCAUAUUUGUUUCCUGAAAUCUAGUCUUUUUCCACUGAUUUUUAAAGUCAUCAGGGGAUUCUCAUUUACCAAGCUUCGUGGUUAUUUCUUAGUUCUUUUCUUCAUUACAUCUGCAAAAUUCCAUCCAACUAACUGGUGACUAUUAAAAGAGAUAGUUUUAGGGAAAUAGAAUCUGAAACUUUUUGGCAUACAGACUUUUUGGUAAUGCAGUGCUUUCUAAACAGUGCUGUGAAUGGAUUAAUCGGUAUCCAGAUUAAUGGUUUCCUUAAUUCCUGGGCUAAUAAUAUCCAGUUAUUCACAGCUUCAUUUACCCCUUUGUGCCACACAGAUACGUCAUAUUUCUGUAUUUUCAUGUGAAGAAUGUUAGGGAACACUGCUGUAUUAUACUUGAUUCUUCUGAUGAUAAUCUUAGACCUUGGACAGUUCUUCUUUGGCUUUUCUUUCUUCCCUUCUAAAUACAGAUUAUUCCUUAAACUUUCUUUGAUCCUAUUUUUCUGUAAUACUUUUUACUAUUCUAAUACUUUUUAUUUUGAAAUCUCACUUUGAGGUAUCUUUAUGUGGAGACAUCUGUAUUUUCAGCUGUGUUUCUUCUUACCCAAGCACUAGUCCCGUGACAGAGCAUUAUUUUUGGAUAUUGUACUAAAGAGCCUAAUCAUACCCUCUAGAAACCUGAAAUUUCUUUUUGCUUUAAACUUACUUUUUCUCCUUUGUUUUUUGUUAACGACAAGAUUAUUUUUUCAUUUGCACUUAAAAUCUCAGAGUCACCUCCACAUUUAUUUUAUUGCUAAAUUCUAUCAAUCUGCCUCCUUAACAUCUCUCAAGUGGUGGUACUAUGAAGUCUUCUUAGUUAAGUCCUUGAACAUGGCCAAACCAGGUGGUGGCAGUUUGUCUUCAGAGCCUUUUUACCCCUUCAUUUUAGCCCUUUGUUGGCCCCCAACUUGCUCCUCCUGUCAGGUUCCCAGAAAUGUGGCCUCCCAUUAUGGCAUCAUCUAUCCCCUUUGUUAUCUUUACGUUUUCGUAUAUUAAGUCUUGUUAUUUCUGACUCUGUUAGCUCCUCGAUUUAAUUGAAAUUUGAGUAACUACUGUGUGCUACGUAUCUCUUCCUUUUUCUCUAUUUCUGUUGGCCCCACUUGAGACAUAGCUUACUAUGCGUAGACAAGUGAUUUAACUGUCUGACAUUUUUUCCCAUUUCUAUCUCUUUUUCUGACCAGUUGCCAUACAACAACUCUGAUUAUAUUACUCCCCUACCUUCCAUACUGAGUUGAAUCUAACCUCCUAGGCCUCUGAACCAUUUAUUUUCCACUUCUCUUGCACAUACCAUGUUUUUCAACUCAAGCUUUCUGUUCCUCCAGCAUGGAAUAUAGUUCUCUUUCUAUCUCUGUGUCUCAUACCCUUCUAGGCCCAUUUCUUCCACAGUCUUUCCUUAUCCUCUUUAGUGAAAAUCAUACCAUGGUCCUCUGAAUCAUCAAAGCACUCUAUCAAAAUCAUUCUUAUUUGUGUUUUGUCUUAUAUUAGAGUAAUUCAUGUCUAUCUAGUUGAUUUAGAAUUUGUAGAAUGAAAGGUCCAUGAAAUGUUGUACAUGGAAAAGAAGCAAAUAGCUUAGUGGUUGAGAGCAUGGACUUUGGAAUGAGACUAUGUAUAAAGUGUUUAUCAUAGUGCCUGGCACAUGGUUAAAUGGGUACAACUUGCGUCUUUUUGCUUAAAGUCCUAUUUUGUGACGGUUUGUCUGUUGAGGACUAGUUAUCAACCCAGCUCAAACUCUCUGUAUUUUGGAGAUAAAAGUUUAUCUAACAUUCCAUUUGCAAAGUCCUUCUUCUCUCUCCACUCAAUUGGUUAUCUUUUUAUCUUUACUUUGGUAUUCUUCAUUUUGUAGACACUUUUUAUAAUAAUUUGGUUAGGUGCUUGAAAUGAAGACAAACUGCCUUUCAUUACUAGAAAUAUUUUAUAUUUUCCUGUUAAAAACUAAACUUGUGACCCAUCUGAAAUUAUGUAUGAUGUAUAUAUAAUAAACAGAUCUAUUUUUCUUCAUGUUAACAUUGUUACACUAGAAACAUGUAUUUGUUCUUCCUGUUUUUUCUUGUGAUGAGAACUUUAAAAUUACUCUCUUAGCAACUUUCAAAUAUAAAGUAUUGUAACUAUACCAUUCAUGCUGUAUAUUACAACCUCAGAGCUUACUUAUAACUGGAAGUUUGUACAUUUUGACCACCUUCACCCAUAUUGACCACCCCCACACCCAGCUCUGGCAACCAUCAAUCUGCUCUCUAGCUGUAAAAAACUUUUCCAUUUAUCCAUUUUUUGUUUUUGUCUAGUAUCACUAGGUUUAAAUACAUGCUCAUUUUUUUAUUUUUUCAAAUUUAGAUAACAUUCUCUCAGUAUAUUUCUUAAUAUUUCAUUUAUUCUUUUGGGAUUUUAAUUGAUAUUAUGCUAAAUAUAUGAAUUUAAUUAGGAAAUAUUUUCAACUUUCCUAAGUUAAAUAAUGAGAGGUGGUUCUAUUUUUCCUUUUAAUAAAUAUUUUUUCCUUUCUGCUCUCCCUUUUCUUGCUUUUUCCUCAUUUUUCCUCUUUAAUACUUACUGCUCUGUAGUUCCUUUAAAUCCUUACCAAAUUAAUUUCUAAGCAUUUAUUUGUUUAUGGGAAUGUGAUAUCUCUUUAUAGCUCUUGUUAAUAAACAAUUGUUUGGAAAGGAUUAAAUAUUUUAAUACUACUGAGCUUUUUUAAAAAAUGUCAGACUCUCAAUAUUUACUCAGGUGUGUGAUUUCUCUUAUAAGAAUAAUGCUUUACAUCAUAUCCGGUUGUAUUUUUACUUCCUUGCUGCCCUUGAUAAUUACAUAAUAGGAAAUAGUAAACAGAAGGACCGUAUUAUGAGUUUCAUGGACCCUUGGCACUUUUGCCUUUAUGGGUCCCUUUCGCCAUAAAAAAUAAUAGAAAUAUUUUACGACUGCAUUGUUAUAGGGACAGCAUAUUAAUAUCCAUUAAAAUAUUAUCUUUGACUUAAUAGUUCAUCUUCUUUCCUUCUUAUUUUAAAAGAAAUUAAAAUUUUGUGGGCCUCUAAAAUUAUUUAGAGAUCCUGUGGUGUUGUACCUAGAUGCCUAAGAAUAAGUGCUAUAGAAUUGGGUUGCA